UUUCCGUAUUUUUUCUCUGUAUAUCACUGAUGUAUUUCUUUUAAUAAUAACUGGAUGUAGAAUGUAUGUAUAAUGAAAAGCAAUUCCAACUUUUAAGGCGAGGAGUACGACCGGUUAGGAAUAAUAUUACUUUAGAGAAACGACUGAUUUAUUCGAAUGCCCUAAGUCUGACUACUCAUCAAUUACUGAUGGGAUCUAGCUACCGUUUUGCUGAAGGUCACCAACCCCCUCAUUUGAAUGAGGAUUGCACUUACUUGGCUAGUUUUUCUGGGUCUGUUAUGCAUGAGGAAAUGGGUAACCGAACCAGGUAUAUCCGAUGUGCCUCGACCACUAUGGCCCCAAGUGAAUCUAAUCACUGAGAGGCUUUCAGUCCAAUUGGUAGCACACCUAAAUGCAACGAAUCGAGGGAAACGUCUGCAACCUGAAGCAUCAUCGAGAUAGGUACCUGCAUGAAACAAGAAACUUUUACCUCUCUUUCUGGGGUGAUUAGUAUUUUUUUCCAUUGAAGCUUGUUGGAUCUCUUUGUGACAAGGUGGCUCAUCUGGCGAGGAUCGUGGAGAUGAAGGACCAAGCUUUGUCUACCGUUCAAAGCAGUUUGUCAUAACUCUAUGUAGAAUGUAUGGAUAAUGAAAAGAAGUUCCAACUUCUAAGGUGAGGCGUGCAUCCUUUUAGGAAAAAUAUCACUAUAGAGAACCGACCGACUUAUUCGAAUGCCUCAAGUCUGACUGAUCGCCCUUUACUGAUAGGAACUGACUCUCAUUCAGAUGAAGGUUGUCAACCCCUCCUUUAAAUGAGGAUUGCGCUCACUUGGCUAGCCUUUAUAUGCUCAUUCUGGAUGAGGAAAUUGGUAACCUAGACAAGUAUACCCGGCGUGCCUUGACCGUUCUGGCCCUUGGUGCAUCCGAUCACUAGGAGGCUUUUUGGUCCAAUUGGUACUGCGCUGAAAAGCAACAAAUAGAGGAAAAGUCUACGAAAACAUCAGCAAGAUAGGUACCUUCAUGAAGUAAAGGAAGCUUUUACCUCUCUUUCUGGGGUGAAAAGUGUAUUGCUUACUUUUAAGCUCGCUGGAUCUUUUUUUGACCAGGUGGCUCAUCUGCUGAGGAUCGUGGAGAUGAAGAACCAAGCUUUCUCUACCGCUCGAAGUAGUUUGAGGUCUGCUCACAAAGAAUUAUAGCUUUUGUAUUCUCUAAAUGCUUUACUGACUCAGCAGUUUCCUGACUAUACGAGUUCCACCCUUGCGGAGGUUUCAUAGUCAUUUGAAAAUGCUUUACAUCAAAUGGAGCAUUUCCACCAUCCCCUAACGCUUUCCAUGGACAAAUUCGGUCAAAUCAAGCAGUUGAAGAUGGGGAAGUUGUUUCCCUGCAGAAUUAGAAUUGUCGGGACCCUCUGUUCUUUUCACUUUCAUUAUUAUUAUUAUUAUUAUUAUUUAAAAAAAAUGUUUUAUAUGUACUGUUUGUAAAGGACUUUUGUAAUGGAAGAGUAUAUGAAAAUACUUUUUAUGGAAUGAAAUACUUUUGUUACCUGCUUGAGGUGUAUUAGUAU